AUUGAACGCUGGCGGCAUGCCUUACACAUGCAAGUCGAACGGCAGCAUGAUCUAGCUUGCUAGAUUGAUGGCGAGUGGCGAACGGGUGAGUAAUACAUCGGAACGUGCCCUGUAGUGGGGGAUAACUAGACGAAAGAUUAGCUAAUACCGCAUACGACCUGAGGGUGAAAGUGGGGGACCGCAAGGCCUCAUGCUAUAGGAGCGGCCGAUGUCUGAUUAGCUAGUUGGUGAGGUAAAGGCUCACCAAGGCGACGAUCAGUAGCUGGUCUGAGAGGACGAUCAGCCACACUGGGACUGAGACACGGCCCAGACUCCUACGGGAGGCAGCAGUGGGGAAUUUUGGACAAUGGGCGAAAGCCUGAUCCAGCAAUGCCGCGUGUGUGAAGAAGGCCUUCGGGUUGUAAAGCACUUUUGUCCGGAAAGAAAUGGCUCUGGUUAAUACCUGGGGUCGAUGACGGUACCGGAAGAAUAAGGACCGGCUAACUACGUG
rnacentral:rRNA from 1 species